GACGAACGCUGGCGGCGUGCUUAACACAUGCAAGUCGAACGGAAAGGCCCUGCUUUUGUGGGGUGCUCGAGUGGCGAACGGGUGAGUAACACGUGAGUAACCUGCCCUUGACUUUGGGAUAACUUCAGGAAACUGGGGCUAAUACCGGUUAGGAGCUCCUGCUGCAUGGUGGGGGUUGGAAAGUUUCGGCGGUUAGGGAUGGACUCGCGGCUUAUCAGCUUGUUGGUGGGGUAGUGGCUUACCAAGGCUUUGACGGGUAGCCGGCCUGAGAGGGUGACCGGCCACAUUGGGACUGAGAUACGGCCCAGACUCCUACGGGAGGCAGCAGUGGGGAAUAUUGCACAAUGGGCGGAAGCCUGAUGCAGCAACGCCGCGUGCGGGAUGACGGCCUUCGGGUUGUAAACCGCUUUCGCCUGUGACGAAGCGUGAGUGACGGUAAUGGGUAAAGAAGCACCGGCUAACUACGUG
rnacentral:rRNA from 1 species